CUUCCAGAAAUAGUUAGUGCACAUGCUAGCUUGUGUCACCUAAACUCCUAAUUUGAUUUAAUUUCACGGGUGUUUGCAGAGCCCCUAUUGUGUGCAAAGAAAUGAACUGAGCUCUCUGGUCUCACACCCUACUCUGAUCCACUAAGCACCGGCAGCUUCAGGCCCACCACGGCUGGCCUCCCAUCUCUUUCUCUAAGCAGCGGUGCCUGUGUGUUGAGCACUUCAGGGCAAACACUUGCCUGCCAUGAUGGACCACCUUUCUGUGCAGAUGCUGAGUACACACCAGCUCCCACUCCCACGGCUGCUUUGCAAGGACAGUGUUAAUGAUCCUCACUUUGUAAACAAGGAAAACUGAAGCUCAGAAAAGAGGGAUGGAGGGCGGUAAGGUCGGGCAUCCUACACAUAUGGUGAUAUCAUUGGACAUUUUGUGUUGAAGAACGAUGGAGUGUUGAACACAGAAUCACAGAAUUUUACUUUAUUUUA